GCUGCGGGAGCAGAGGGGGCGCGGCCCGCGGCUCCGCCGUGCGGACUGCGGACGGCAGCGGCGGCUCUGCUCGCCCGCCCGGCUGCCGCCGGCGGCCCGCGGCGGGCCCUGUCACCCUUUUCUCCGCCUGGGCUCGCUGCUGUUUUCUUUCAGUCUUCAGAAGGUCUGAGUCAGAAGCCGCCUGUGGGGCUUUGACAAGGGAGCACAAGGUAGAUUUCCAACUCUGUGAGUUGCACACUUCCACUUUGAUUCAGCAACUCUUCCUACUAAGAAAAACUCUGCCUGUAUUGUAUCAGAAGAAUAUUUGGACACAGAGUUCAGUUAUCUAAAAGAAGUUUUGGUUUCUCUUGCAAGGAAUCUUCAAUCCAACAAGUUUAUGGUAAAUGAUUUUAUUGAUUUUUUGGAAGAUUUCUCUGCUCUUUAGUCUGUUCUACAGAUUAUGGUAAAUGGCUCCACUUCCAAUAGUGUGACUCAAGUUAGCCAUGUGAAAGACUGGCAACAGGAGUGCCUUUCUCCUCUUCCUCACUCACAGAGUAAAUUUCUCUGCUGGGCUGCACAUUGACUUCAGUAGUUUUUUACACAUAUAAGGCGUCUUCAGAGCGUGCCUACUUGGUAGGUCUUCUGGGGGUGUAAGCAGAGAUAAGAUGCUACUCCUCUGACUGGGCAACUUCUUUACAUGCACUAUGAAUGUUGUGGGACCUUUGUGGUCCAGAGUUUAAGCACCAAUUAAAUGUAAAUAUCCCUGCAGGAUGAGCUGUUGCUGAGGAACAGAAUCCGUCACUCCCUGAGGAAUCUAAAUAGGUUUUCUGAAUUUCACCCUGAGUUACUCCUUUGCAAGGGCAAAAUAGAAGGGAAAGGCCCAAUAUGAGCUUCAUUCUGUCAUGUAGAUGCUUGCUUCUCAAAUAAAAUGAAAUGGUGCUGAGUUUUGCAUGCAUCUUCCACGGAAAUGUACUAGGAAGCAGGUGAACUGAGAAGAGGAGGAACUCUUAAAAAUUAUGUAUCCAGCUGUUCUUGUCCUAUUUAUACAAAGUUGUUGCAUCUGUAACAACUGCUAGCAUGUUAGAGAUGUACAAAAUGUCCUUCCAGAGCAAACAUACUCAUACAAAUUCAGAUAUAUUUGGCAACUCAUAAAGGUGU